GUUUUGGGUGCGGUGUAUAUCAC
rnacentral:siRNA from 1 species